AUUGAAUCUUGACCACAGGUCAGGUUUGACGUGGCGACGAGCGCUGCACCACACACACACCACCACCUCCUGUGGAUCAUGUCGAUGUCGACAAUGGAUUUAAAGACAAAAACGGUAAACAGUAAGCACUAGUAUUAGCUACCACUGCCUAUACGCCAAGCAUUGCAUUGCCCAUUUGGCGCGCGCCCGAAGGAAAAUGAGGAGGGGCGGAGCUCUCUCUUUCUCCGUUUUGUAUAUGACAUGCCAACCUUUACCCUCUUCUCUCUCUCCUCUCCUUCUUCUUCCACUUCCAUCACAGUAGCAGCAGCACCAAGGAACAAGAAGCCCCACCACCCCUCAAAGGAUUCUGAACAGAGAGCCCCAAGGAUAACAUCAAAUGUGAAACAAAACCUGCAGUUUUUAAGGAUUUGGAAGGAAUUUCAGCGACAAAAGUCAAAUACACCGAAACCUGCAACCAGUUAUCGCAAAAAGAAAGUACAGAAAGAGGAGCUUCCGGAUGACAAGGAGCUUUAUCAAGACCCCACUACGGCACUAUACUAUACGAACCAGGGAUUGGAUACGGCUGUUCCCGUUCUGCUUGUUGAUGGUUACAAUGUAUGUGGGUACUGGGCAAAGCUGAAGAAGCACUUUGCAGGAGGAAGACUUGAUAUCGCCCGCCAAAAGCUCAUUGAUGAAUUAAUAACAUUCAGUUUGAUGAAAGUUCAAGCUUUCAAAAAUCGCUUGCUUUUCUUAGUUCCCAUAAAAGAGGUAAAAGUGGUGGUGGUCUUUGAUGCCAUGAUGUCAAGCUUGCCGACCCACAAGGAAAACUUUGCAGGGAUUGAUGUGAUUUUUACAGGUGAUAGUUGUGCUGAUGCAUGGAUUGAGAAAGAGGUAGUAGCUUUGAAGGAGGAUGGCUGCCCCAAAGUUUGGGUUGUGACGUCGGAUCACUGUCAACAGCAUGCAGCAUAUGGAGCUGUAUGUCCUCUCUAGGGCAUGGAGCUUUUGUGUGGAGUUGCAAGGCAUUGAUUUCAGAGAUAAAGGCUUCCCAAAAGGACUUUGAACAGCUACUUCAGGAACAAAGGUGAAAACUCGCUUAAAAAGAAAACUCUCGCUUUGUGGCACUGCUUGUUAAGAUUAUUGUGGUCCUCUAAUUGUGUAGGCCUGUUCUCUUAAAUCCUACUGCUCAACCUCAGUUCAGGGGAAACUGCUGCAGCACAAUCUAGAUCCUGAAGUUGUUUCUGCUCUCAAGGGUCUUAAGAAGCAGCUUGUUGAAAAGGAAUCAAAGUAGUCUGUGGUUUCUCUAUGUUGGUUGUGGCCCUCAAUUGCAAAAGAAAUUUAUCUCAUGAAUUAAUUGUGCAUUUAUUUGUCAUAAGGAUAUUUACAUUUCACAUGGAAGAGUUGUUUUCAUUUAAAUCAUAGGGAAGAAAAUGGAUUUCAUGAAGCUUGGUGAUUGUGGGAGAGAGAUGAAGGUCCUUGGUUUUUUCUUGCUCCACUUCUCUUAUUUUGGCCCAAACACUCUUUCUGAAAUUAUGAGGCCCCACUUAGUGGUCCUUUCUUUUUGAUUA